GAUUGGUGACUAGUACUCCUUCUGAGUCCAACUUUAAUUGUCCGUCUUGUUUGAUUUUUUUUAUGAUUAGCAUUUAUGUUAUUAGAUGAUAAUUGAUAAAACAUGAAUAAUAUUUUAUACAUGUCUUAUAUUUUUUUAUUUUUUUUAAAAAAAUAAAUAAUACGGAUGAUCAAAGAUAGGCAUAGAAAUUUAUAACCCCGCUUACA
rnacentral:pre_miRNA from 1 species